rnacentral:Y_RNA from 1 species
GGCUGGUCUGAACGUAGUACAUUAUCUCAACUGAGUGUUCACAUUCAGUUACAGACCAAACUCCUUGUUCCACUCUUUCUUCCCUUCUCACUACUGCAUUUGAUUAGUAUCAA